GCCAAUUAGAUUAGUCUAAAUCUUAAAUAUGGUUUACUCAGUGUUUAUUACACUACUAAUGCCUUCCUUCAUGCUAAGAUAAUUAUUAUUUUAAGAACCAUAAUAAGUUUGUUGUACUAUCUACAAGACUUACAAUGGGGACUAAUAUGAUAAAAUCUUGGUGCAUUAAGAAUGCUUAUUGCAAUUUGAAUUAUUAUUGCUUUGUUGUGCUAUCCACAAGAGCAAUAUUAAUUUCAAAUAUGAUUGUAUGAAAAUGAAGAGUCUGACUUAACUAAAAUAUUAUAGUUUGUUGUGCUAUCCAUAAUACUAUAAAUAUUUUAGAGG
rnacentral:lncRNA from 1 species